rnacentral:rRNA from 1 species
ACGAUCCAUAGCUGGUUUCAGAGGAUGAUCAGCCACACUGGGACUGAGACACGGCCCAGACUCCUACGGGAGGCAGCAGUGGGGAAUCUUAGACAAUGGGCGCAAGCCUGAUCUAGCCAUGCCGCGUGAGUGACGAAGGCCCUAGGGUCGUAAAGCUCUUUCGCCUGUGAAGAUAAUGACGGUAGCAGGUAAAGAAACCCCGGCUAACUCCGUGCCAGCAGCCGCGGUAAUACGGAGGGGGUUAGCGUUGUUCGGAAUUACUGGGCGUAAAGCGCGCGUAGGCGGACCAUCAAGUUGGGGGUGAAAUCCCGGGGCUCAACCCCGGAACUGCCACCAAAACUGGCGGUCUGGAGUUCGAGAGAGGUGAGUGGAAUUCCGAGUGUAGAGGUGAAAUUCGUAGAUAUUCGGAGGAACACCAGUGGCGAAGGCGGCUCACUGGCUCGAGACUGACGCUGAGGUGCGAA